UCGGCAGCAGCCCGCCAAUCCCUAACAGCUACAGCAGCGCUGCUGAACAGCUCAGGAAAAGUUGUGUGUGGUACUGCACCAAUACACCCAUCUACCGAGCUAAUUACCCCAUAUCAUCAUAAUUGAUGGAGAAGUGGCUUGCAUUAGAUCUACACAGAAAAGUGGAUUACAGCAUCUUAAAUGGAAAUAUGGAUGGUUAUUACACCAUCAUAGUGGACUCAACAUGUUAAUGCUCAUCAUAUUUUGAAGUAUUUAAAUAGAAAUUUGUCUGUAUAUGUGCAUAACCAUGAUGCAAAAUUUUCUAAAAGUACAAAUAUAUGGAAAUUGCCAUGAGGUACAUAUUGUACUGUGUACUUGAAGAGAAAUGUGUGAAAAACACAAAGCAUUAAACAAGUGUUUGUGAAUUUGUUGCAGCAGAGAAAGGGUUAAAGGAAAAUGUGUGUUUAUCUUGUCUAUUAUCCUAGCUCAUUAUAAUAAAGUGUGUCUAAUUAA